AACUACCAGUGACCUGUUGGACAGAGAUCUGAUAUGAAGUCCAGCAGCUUUCUGAAGUUUCCUCUGGUCUCUGCUGUAUUCUGAGUUCUACAUGGUCCAGUUACCAGAUUAGAUCCAUUCACCCACAAGCUGUUCCAGUCCUGAUUUUACUAACACAGGAAUCCUGCUGGGUCCAGAUCUCUGAACAGCUGUCAGA